GAUGAACGCUGGCGGCGUGCCUAAUACAUGCAAGUCGAGCGAACGGACGAGACGCUUGCUUCUCUGAUGUUAGCGGCGGACGGGUGAGUAACACGUGGAUAACCUACCUAUAAGACUGGGAUAACUUCGGGAAACCGGAGCUAAUACCGGAUGAUAUUUUGAACCGCAUGGUUCAAAAGUGAAAGACGGUCUUGCUGUCACUUAUAGAUGGAUCCGCGCUGCAUUAGCUAGUUGGUAAGGUAACGGCUUACCAAGGCAACGAUGCAUAGCCGACCUGAGAGAGUGAUCGGCCACACUGGAGCGGAGACACGGUCCAGACUCCUACGGGAGGCAGCAGUAGGGAAUCUUCCGCAAUGGGCGGAAGCCUGACGGAGCAACGCCGCGUGAGUGAUGAAGGUCUUCGGAGCGUAAAACUCUGUUAUGAGGGAAGAACAUAUGUGUAAGUAACUGUGCACAUCUUGACGGUACCUAAUCAGAAAGCCACGGCUAACUACGUG
rnacentral:rRNA from 1 species